UGUCAGUCUGCUUCCAAACGGACUCUGGGCCAGUUCACUUCUAGUGGGAAUAUGACCAGCCUCGAGCUGAAACAAACCAAGGAACCAUGAGCCUUUUUGUGCUUGACAAGUCACUGUAGCCACUGGAAGUAGCAGAGCUGCACAGGUAGUCAGAGCUAACAGCAGCAGCCAUGAGCCGUGGACAGACAUGGAGCAAUGAGAAGACUGAAUGUCUCAUUGACAUUUGGUCAGAUGUUCAUAUUACCAAACUGGCUCCAAAUGAGCUGUUCUUGACAGUUAACGUUAUUUUGAUAAAGUUGUGUCUGUAAAAAUAGAAUACAUAUUCCAAAACUGAUAACUGCA